CUCUCCUCCAGAGCUAUCUACUAUAACUGGAAAGAAAUAUAAAAGUUAAAAAUGACCCCUGGGAAAGGAUGACAAACAAAUUCAUGAAGUGUUACAUGUUCCA